rnacentral:pre_miRNA from 1 species
GGUUAUGGGUGUAUAUGGUGUUCAGCGCCAGCGGCAAGUUUGUUCACCUGUGUGUGGAUAUUGUUCAGCACCAAGGACAGGUAUAUUUGCUC